CACACACACACACACACACACACACACACACACACACACAGGAGAAAUGUAUCAUUUAAGUUGGUGGUGUGAUUGGCACAGGGUGGUUUCACACCUGGAGUUUGGUUCAUGUAGUCUGAACAAAGAAAAAAAACCAAACUUAAUAAUAAUACAUACAACAAUCCCGUUUUUUUUAGUUUAAAAAGAGUAUUCCGAUCCAGACCACAACUUGACCUCAUGUUAGGAAUAAUAGCAAACAGGCUGAAAGAGGCUUACUCGACUCGACUCAGUGUAGGUCAAUUAUUUAUGAACAUGAACUCAUAUUAAAAACAUUUCACGUCUCUCCACAGCUCUAAAGCAAGGAGUGUGGUCUGUUUUCUUUUAUGUGGCUCGCAAAUCUCCAGAUCCGUUCUUUUUAUCGGCCUCACACUUGGCAUGCUCUAUUGUUAAGGGCCCACGUUAGUGCAGUGUGGAAUUUUGUGCAAUUUGGACACACGACGCCAAUAAAUAAAUAUCAAAGAAACAAUAUCAAUAAACAAACUUAAUACAUGAAACAGAUUUUCUGUGCAGUAGUGGGGGAGCACUGACCAAGUCCAACAUGUUCUUCCCUUGCGUCCGCACUGUGCCUUUAUCCAGCGAUCUGUCGCGCAUCCGCAACAAUUCACUACAACGUCACGAACGUUUACGGACUUUUACGUAGCGGUUUGACGGUGUGGGGGUGCCAGUCGGAGGGUUAGACUGACAAUAAUAAAAUUCCUUUAAGUAGUCAAACCUACACGGGAGGUUAGGUGCAUGGACCCUAACUAACAACCAGGUAUAUAAAUACAUGAUGUAUGGCACACGGCAGGAUUCAAAAGCCACCAAGAAUCACCAAAAAAAACACAUGAAUUUGCAGUCCACUACAGUGUAUUAUACAGUUUGUCCCCAAAACCAAACCCACGGUGCAAAUACUCCGAAACAAAAAGUCCUCUCUUCAGGAACUCAUAAAACAAACAAAAUGACCAGCCAGUUUCAAAAUAACCGCUGGCCAACAAAACCAAAACCAAGUGACGCCUCCCGCGUCUAAUAGACCAGCUAUGUAAAUCUCCGACGACGGAGUUACCUCCCGUUCGCCGGCGGAAGUCCUGGAGCGGGAAGAGCACGGUCGCUGUCGGUAGUGGAGAAGAAUGCGGAGGAUAUUCCGUUCGAGCAGAAGCGAAUACUGGACAACGUAUUAAACGGACUUUAAACCUGCUGCCAGGGGUUGGCGGGCUACCGAUGAUGCCGACUCGGGACGGACAAGACAUCUCUGCCUCAUAGCGUGUCACAGGGCCGGAGCCCCCCCCCCCCCCCCACACUCCCAGGAACAUCUGUGAUUCUCCAUCAUACACUGUUCAUCUUCCAGAACAGACCAGUGAUCUUCGGUGAUCUUCGGUGAACUCCCCAGUCACCGGAUGUGAACCCAACAGAACCUCAGGAUGUGGCGGAACAUGUCAACAUGGAGCUGAACCUCACGGGGAAGUGCGAGAGAGGAGGCGCGAGCGAUGGAGAGAGAGGCAGGCUGCUUUAUUGGCUGUGAUGUGAAACAAGAUGGAGGCUCCCCGAGAGGAAUAAAACAACGGGAGGAAGGAGAGGAUGCAGCGACGGGGCGGCGAUGUCACUUUGAUUUCCAGAUGACAGAAAUGUCUAAAGGAACGUCUUACUGUAAGAGUGAAUCAAAAUGAACUUGUGCACAGCAAAUGUGCAGGGAAUUUUACUUUCUAUGUAAAUUUACUGAAUACUAAUUUCAUUCGCAUAUUUAAACACAGUGCAGUGGUAUGUGUAUGUCAUUUCUUGUUUUUUGUCCAGAUGACUCUGGUAUUUGUAGUUAUUUUGUUAUUAGGGAAAGCAGCAAUAUCGAAGACAUCAAAGAAAAAGGACCAGAGAGACGAUGAUGAACGACGAUUAAGAGCAAAAUUAUGUUUUUGUUUUUUUUAUGUUACAGUUACCUCGUAAUUCGUAUAUUCUCGGGGCGGCUGCACCUGAACGUAACAGGCCAAGAGGUCCCGAAACAUAAACAGUUAUCAUUAUGUAUAGCACUCAAAGAUAGAUAAGUCCAUAAGCGGAUUCAAGUCUGAAUAUUCUCAAAAGUGCAUUUAAAAUUUGGAAAGAUCGCAAUUUAGGAAAUGGAUCGAUCGGCCCAAAAACUGACCUGAUUAUCAGCGAUGUGAAGGACAAAUAGCAGCUGAGAGUUAUAUUUCACACGUCUGCACUGUGUGGGAAGAUAACAGCGAUGAGACUGAAUCUAUUCUCCAAAUGGGAUAAAUCCUAAUUAAUGAACCCUUCCUUUUCCCCUGGACUCUAGAGUCUGACGACCGUUCCGUGUGUGGUGUGACUCGGUGUCUUUAUACCGGCGGGUGUGUUUGUGUUAGGAGUCGGGGUCAGCGGCGCGGGAGUCUCCCUGCUCGGUGUACGGGUACAGAUGCAAUUAUUGAUCAGCGAAUCAAUGGCCUGGCCUGUGGCAGGGGCCCGGGGCCUCUAAGUGGCAUUACUUCAGCUCGGAGAGACCGCCAGGGGAGCGGUCAGACAGCACUUACCAGCAGUUAGAGAAAUUAACCUUAACACCGAGACACCGGCGCGCACACGCACACACACAAUCAAUUACGCUCGCUGCAACACAGGUCAGCUCGCUGUGAAUGUAAGCUCACUUGCACAUGCACAUGUAAUCAGGCCACACACACACACACACACACACACACACACACACACACACACACACACACACACGUCCUGUUAUACGUGUGAGGACAUUGUGCUGGCGGUAUUCGUUCUUCAAUCCCGCAAACUAAAUUCACCCCCCCAUUAAUCUGAAUACACACCACAACAAAUGCUAAAAGACAAAAAAUUCCACUUGAAUAGAAACUACAAUCAGCAAAGUCUAUUAUACUGUAUCAAACCAUAACGUGGGAAAGGACGAGAAAAAAAACAAACAAACAUGCUCACCAAAACAAUUACAAGGUCAGUGGUGGCACAAUGAAACGGCCUCGGCUCAGUUCUAAACUGCAGCGCGGAGCCGUUUACAAUCCUUUUACCAGCCGAUUACCUUCAAUUAUAGAUAUGGAAUCCAGUGCCUUAAAAAGAGACGCGAUGGAGAUGCCUCAACAUGACACACAUACGGCUGUUAUUUGUGGGGGGAUUUUUUUUUUACAGAUGAGGUGUGUGUGUGUGUGUGUGGGCUUUUGAAGGUGACACUGCUAAGUAGAUAAAGUGUCAGUUCAGGGUGUAUCCAGGUCACUGGGGAUGGCCUGCAUAUGAGAGCAUGGUGUUUGUGUUUAUUUUAAUGUAUACAAAUUUGUGUCUUUUAUUUUGUAUUAUUAUUUUGGUUAUUUUUCUACUUUUAUCGUUGUUAUGUUAUUAAUCUUUAACUUGUUUUUAUUGUAUACACUUUUAAGAAAGUGCCACAUAAACAAAGUUUUUCAUUAAAUCAUAUCUAUUAUUAAAACAUACUGUUUCUGUUUAAAAAACAGACGACUUGACUUUACUGUACUACUGCAGCAUGUGUAUACUAUAUAUA